CAGGGAGACAAAAAAUUGAUUGUGUUGUUUAAGUUAUUUAAUCUUAAGCCGCAAUCCUGUCACCUUAAGGUCGAUCGGUACCUCAGAUUUUUGAAUUAUUUUCAUAAUUGAUUCUUUGAUUUCAGUUCCUAAACUUGUCUAGGUCACACCCAACAAAGGUUUCUCCUGGGCCAUUAGCUCAGGUGGUUAGAGCGCACCCCUGAUAAGGGUGAGGUCCCUGGAUCAAGUCCAGGAUGGCCCAUUCGUUGUUGGGGGUAUAGCUCAGUUGGUAGAGCGCCUGCUUUGCAAGCAGGAUGUCAGCGGUUCGAGUCCGCUUACCUCCACUGAAAACUAUCCUGAUAACUAAAUUUGGAGAAAAUUUGUAUGACUGGCUUAAAAUUGUCUAUUUGAAAAGAACCUACUUUUUUGCCAUCUUUUAAAGAUGAUAACAUGCUGGGCUCGCAUGGAUUAAACCCAUGUGAAUUCAGUAGAACCUUGAAAACUGCAUAGAUUAAAAAGAAUAAAGCAUCUCAUGGAUGCAUAAUUCUGUUUUUAUAAGUUAGCCUCAAAACUAAAUUAUUUAAUUCUANAAUUCAUGUUUAAUUCUUGAGUAAAAGCCGAGCACAAUUGAUUUUGUGAUUGCAUUUAA
rnacentral:tRNA from 1 species